rnacentral:rRNA from 1 species
UGGCAAAAGGGUGCGUAACGCGUGAGCAAUCUACCUUUAAGUGGGGAAUAACCCUGGGAAACCGGGGCUAAAACCGCAAUGACCACGGCUCGGAAUCGAGCUGUGGUAAAAGACGGGGACCGUAAGGCCUGUCGCUUAGAGAUGAGCUCGUGUCCUAUCAGCUUGUUGGCGGGGUAACGGCCCACCAAGGCUUUUGACGGGUAGCUGGUCUGAGAGGAUGGUCAGCCACAUUGGGACUGAGACACUGCCCAGACUCCUACGGGAGGCUGCAGUCGAGAAUCUUUUGCAAUGCCCGAAAGGGUGACAAUGCGACGCCGCGUGUGCGAUGAAGGUCUUCGGAUUGUAAAGCACUGUCAGUCGGGAGGAAGGCUGUUCUAUCGAACAGAUGGAGCAGCUUGACAGUACCGGCAGAGGAAGCCACGGCUAACUCCGUGCCAGCAGCCGCGGUAAUACGGAGGUGGCAGGCGUUACUCGGAUUGAUUGGGUGUAAAGGGCGUGUAGGUGGUGAAUUAAGUCGAUUGUGAAAUCCCUUGGCUUAACCAAGGAACUGCAUUCGAAACUGAUUUGCUUGAGUGAUAGAGAGGUAAGUGGAAUUCCCGGUGUAACAGUGAAAUGUGUAGAUAUCGGGAGGAACACCAGUGGCGAAGGCGACUUACUGGCUGUCUACUGACACUGAAACGCGAGAGCUAGGGGAGCAAACAGGAUUAGAUACCCUGGUAGUCCUAGCCGUAAACGAUGUUCACUAGGUGUCGGGCCCUCUGGGUUCGGUGCCGCCGUUAACACAUUAAGUGAACCACCUGGGGAGUACGGUCGCAAGACUGAAACUCAAGGAAUUGACGGGGACCCGCACAAGCGGUGGAGCAUGUGGUUUAUACG